AUUGAACGCUGGCGGUAUGCUUAACACAUGCAAGUCGAACGGUAGCAGCUCUUCGGAGGCUGACGAGUGGCGGACGGGUGAGCAACGCGUAGGAAUCUGCCCCAUAGUGGGGGACAACGUGGGGGAAACCCACGCUAAUACCGCAUACGCCCUACGGGGGAAAGCGGGGGACUUUCGGGCCUCGCGCUAUGGGAUGAGCCUGCGUUAGAUUAGCUUGUUGGUAGGGUAAAGGCCUACCAAGGCGACGAUCUAUAGCUGGUCUGAGAGGGCGAUCAGCCACACUGGGACUGAGACACGGCCCAGACUCCUACGGGAGGCAGCAGUGGGGAAUAUUGGACAAUGGGCGGAAGCCUGAUCCAGCAAUACCGCGUGUGUGAAGAAGGCCUUAGGGUUGUAAAGCACUUUCAAUUGGGAGGAAAACGGACGGACCAAUACCCCGGCCCUUGACAUUACCUUUAGAAGAAGCACCGGCUAACUCCGUGCCAGCAGCCGCGGUAAUACGGAGGGUGCGAGCGUUAAUCGGAAUUACUGGGCGUAAAGCGUGCGUAGGCGGCCCGUUAAGUCAGAUGUGAAAGCCCCGGGCUCAACCUGGGAACUGCAUUUGAAACUGGCGGGCUAGAGUUUGGUAGAGGGGAGCGGAAUUUCAGGUGUAGCGGUGAAAUGCGUAGAUAUCUGAAGGAACACCAGUGGCGAAGGCGGCUCCCUGGACCAGAACUGACGCUGAGGUACGAAAGCGUGGGUAGCAAACAGGAUUAGAUACCCUGGUAGUCCACGCCGUAACCGAUGUCGACUAGCCGUUGGGCCCUUCAUGGGUUUAGUGGCGCAGCUAACGCAUUAAGUCGACCGCCUGGGGAGUACGGCCGCAAGGUUA
rnacentral:rRNA from 1 species